CAGAGAAAGGAUGAGGGUAAAAUGGAAAUUUUCCAACUUUAUCAUUUUCUGAAAUUCAAAUCAAAUCUGCAGAGAGAAAGCAAAGAAGCUAGUGCACAGCAGAUAGCAUCCACAUACACAAAACAGAAAUACAAAUGGCUACUGCCGCUAUAACGCUAAAUCGUCUGCAACUUCUUCACAUUCCCUCUCCAAUCAUCGCUCGACCUUCCAUAUAUCGUGCGAAAAUCACUCCUAGUAGAAACACGCGCUCUUUUCCUUGUUCCCUCCACAAUUUCUCCACAACAACUCACUGUUCACGCUCUGACUCAAUCAGAACAGCGUCUCAAGCUUCUUCGACGAGCGGCUCCAUAGUUGGCCAUUUUCUCGACUAUUUAAACGAGUCUUGGACGCCGUUUCACGCUACUGCUGAAGCGAAACGAUUACUGAUUGAUGCUGGUUUUAAUUUGCUUAAUGAAAAUGAGGAGUGGGAGCUCAAGCCUGGUGGGCGAUAUUUUUUUACAAGGAAUAUGUCUUCUUUGGUUGCCUUUGCUGUGGGAGAAAAGUACUCUGUUGGUGAUGCUUUUCAUGUUAUAGCUGCACACACUGACAGCCCCUGUCUUAAGAUUAAACCCAAGUCUGCGUCAUCCAAGUCUGGUUAUUUGAUGGUGAAUGUGCAGACCUAUGGAGGUGGUUUGUGGCAUACUUGGUUUGAUAGAGACUUAAGUGUAGCAGGAAGGGUUAUAGUUAGAGGUAGUGAUGGUUCUUUUCUGCACAAGCUCGUCAAAGUGGAAAGACCUCUACUACGAGUUCCUACAUUGGCCAUUCAUCUUGAUCGUGCUGUGAACAAGGAUGGAUUCAAGCCAAAUCUGGAGACUCACCUCAUUCCAUUACUUGCAACCAAAUCAGAGGAAGCAUCACCAGAGCUGAAAGAGAAAAGUUCGUCAUCUUCUAAAGCUGCUCAUCAUCCUGUACUUAUGCAGAUUUUGUCAGAAGAGCUGAGUUGUGAAAUUGAUGACAUAGUGAGCAUUGAGCUAAAUAUUUGUGAUACCCAACCUAGCUGUCUUGGAGGUGCAAAUAACGAAUUUAUAUUCUCUGGAAGAUUAGAUAAUCUUGCUUCAAGUUAUUGUGCUUUGAGAGCUCUUAUUGAUUCAUGUGGAUCACCUAGUGACUUAUCAAGUGAACACGCUAUUCGUAUGGUUGCUUUAUUUGACAAUGAGGAGGUAGGCUCAGAUUCAUACCAAGGAGCUGGUGCACCAACCAUGUUUCAGGCUAUAAGACGCAUUGUUGGUUCCUUAGCACAAGAGUACACUGGUGAGAGUGCUUAUGACCGUUCAAUUCGCCAGUCAUUUCUUGUAUCUGCAGACAUGGCACAUGGAGUUCACCCAAAUUUUUCUGAGAAACACGAAGAAAACCAUCGCCCAGAAAUGCAUAAGGGUCUAGUGAUAAAGCACAACGCAAAUCAGCGCUAUGCUACCAGUGGAGUGACAGCUUUUCUGUUUAAAGAGAUUGCAAAAAUUCAUAAUCUUCCUACUCAGGAAUUUGUGGUAAGAAAUGAUAUGGGAUGUGGGUCCACAAUUGGGCCCAUUCUUGCUUCAGGCGUUGGCAUUCGAACUGUUGAUUGCGGCAUACCUCAGCUUUCCAUGCACAGCGUGAGGGAGAUAUGUGGGAAGGAAGAUGUAGACAUUGCUUACAAACAUUUCAAGGCUUUUUACAAAACUUUCUCCAGCAUAGACAAGAAGCUAAUCGUGGAUUACUAUCGAGAAGGAUGUAGCCAAACCAACAUAUAUCUGUGAUCAAGGUUUGUUGGUUUUUACAGAAUUCUCAGACGAACUCAAGCCAUGAUUCCUCUAACCAUUAUGCUUGGAUUUCGGGUACCCUUUGGACAUUUUCUGCUUCAGCUCGGACAACAAAACUUGGUUCUCCUGGUUGAGUUGGUUGGAAACUUAGACUUCGUCAAAGUGUUUGAUAAAUUCAACAAUCUUCAUCUCUUGCGCACGAGGCAUUUUCUUGACAUUGAACCUGGACUUCCACCAACUGCUAAUUAUACAAAGAUGAGAACUCUGUUACAAUCACCUGGACCAAUUUUACAGUAUGAGAUCUUCUACUCUGCCCUGUCCACACCGUCUACGAAAUUCUAAUCAGGUUUCACCAUCUGAAGAAUUUACUCAUGGCAAUUGAAAUACAAGAAGAAAAGAAACGCCUCCUUUUCGUGUCAACUGCCCUUAAGGUAGCAGUUUUCAGUGCUCCACAACUUGCAAGUCAUCAAGGGGCAAAUUUUGCUGCUGCACCUCAGUGUGCUCCACAGUUUGCAGGUCUAGGGGCAAAUUUUGUUGUAGUACCCCACAGUGUUCUGCAGUUUGCAGGUCUUCCUGGGGCAAAUUUUGCUGUAGCCCCUCACGGUGCUCUGCAAUUUGCAAGUCUUCCUGGGGCAAAUUUUGCCACAGCACCUCAGGGUUCUCCGCAGCUUGUUGGUCUUCCUGGUGCAAAAUUUGCCGUUAACAAUGCUGUUAUUCUUGAUGAUGAGACUGAUAAGUCAAAUAUGGUGAUGGAAAAUCUGACAAAUGGCAAUCACAAGCUGUAUCUGCGAA